rnacentral:lncRNA from 1 species
AAUGUAAAUAUCUUCAUAUAAAAGCUACAGAGAAUCAUUCUCAGAAACUACUUUGUGAUGUGUGCGUUCAACUCACAGAGUUUAACCUUUCUUUUAAUUGAGCAGUUUGGAAACACUCUGUCUGUAAAGUCUACAAGUGGUUAUUUGGAUCUCUUUGAGGCCUUCGUUGGAAAAGGGAUUUCUUCAGAUAAUGCUAGACAGAAGAAUUUUCAGUAACUUCUUUGUGUUGUGUCUGUUCAACUCACAGUUUUGAAACUUCCUUUACACAGAGCAGAUUUGAAACACUCUUUUUGUGGAAUUUGCAAGUGCAGAUUUCAAGCGCUUCUAGGCCAAUUGUAGAAAAGGAAGUAUCUUCGUAUAAAAACUAGACAGAAUCAUUCUAAAGAACUACUUUGUGAUGUGUGCAUUCAACUCACAGAGUUUAACCUUUCUUUUCAUAGAGCAGUUUGGAAACACUCUGUUUGUAAAGUCUGCAAGUGCAUAUUUGGACUUCUUUGAGGCCUUCGUUGGAAACGGGAUUUCUUCAUAUAAUGCUAGACAGAAGAAUUCUCAGUAACUACUUUGUGUUGUGUGUAUUCAACUCACAGAGUUGAACCUUCCUUUAGACAGAGCAGUUUUGAAAAACUCGUUGUUGUGGAAUUUGCAAGUGGAGAUUU